rnacentral:rRNA from 1 species
GACGAACCGUGCGAACGUUGUUCGGAAUCACUGGGCUUAAAGGGCGCGUAGGCGGGUUGCCAAGUUCGGGGUGAAAUCCUCCCGCUUAACGGGAGAACGGCCUCGAAUACUGGCGGUCUCGAGGGAGGUAGGGGCGUGCGGAACUAUGGGUGGAGCGGUGAAAUGCGUUGAUAUCCAUAGGAACUCCGGUGGCGAAGGCGGCACGCUGGACCUCUUCUGACGCUGAGGCGCGAAAGCUAGGGGAGCAAACGGG